rnacentral:rRNA from 1 species
UACGUAGGGUGCAAGCGUUGUCCGGAAUUAUUGGGCGUAAAGAGCUCGUAGGCGGUUUGUCGCGUCUGCCGUGAAAGUCCGGGGCUCAACUCCGGAUCUGCGGUGGGUACGGGCAGACUAGAGUGCAGUAGGGGAGACUGGAAUUCCUGGUGUAGCGGUGAAAUGCGCAGAUAUCAGGAGGAACACCGAUGGCGAAGGCAGGUCUCUGGGCUGUAACUGACGCUGAGGAGCGAAAGCAUGGGGGAGCGAACAGG